ACGAAUGGACUGAAGAAAAGUAGUGGGCUCAGGAGGUAUAGUAAUAUUAGUAAUACAUUCGGCGUGUUGCGGCCGCUGUUAGCACCGUUAAACUAGCUUUUACUGUUCCGGUCGGUCCUUUGAACCUCACCGCCUAUGCGGCAGCCACGGGCAAUAAAAUGCGUUCACCAUAAAAUGCCGAGUCUCUCUAGCCUCGCCACGGCCUCGACCAUGCUCUCGUCAAUGCUCACGCAACCUACCUAGCCCAUUGCACAUCCGGUUGCGCCCGUUUUCCCCGACCCGCAGAUUUUUCACGGGAACCUUUAAUUAUUCCACGAACGGGAUACUCUUUAAUGUCCAUACGUUUUUUGGGAUUCUAAUCUAAUUCAUACUAAUCGUAUAAGAAUCGUAUAAGUCAUAUUUAUCGUUAAUACAGAUUUGCCGAGUAAGAGCACGGAUCUUAUAAAUACUUAGUCAAUGGUAAAAGUAAAAUUCCUGAAAGGAAAGGAAACGACAUUUUGGCAGAUAAAAAAAUUUGUAGAUACCGUCAAUUAUUUAUUUUUAAUCCUAUUAAUCGAUCAAACUUAAAUUAAAACAUAUGUUUAAAGUAUUUUAAGGUAGUAUGAGAUACACUAGAUUAGUAGAUAUUGUUUGAAAUUGUAGAUUAGUGGUGAUCGACGCAUGCGUCCUCUGUUUCCUAUUUGUUUUGACAUGCGUAUUAGAGGCUUCGCGAUUUGUUUUCAGUGCAAUUAAGUAGUCUUGUCAAGUGCUAUCUUUCUUAAGUCUUAGUUCUUUUUUUAAGAACUUUCAAAGUGCGUUCUGGUUAUUUUGGUUGAUACAAGAGAAAUGGUUUUUGGUUUGAUGAAUGGAGAUCUGUCAAUGGAUACUUUCAUUGAAACAUUAAAACAUGAGUAUCCACAAUCGGUUAUGUGUAUCAAGGAGCUUCUGUUAUCCUGAUUCUACCUUUAUGGAAUCUUCCACACUGAUCAUGUUAUUGUAGAGAAGCAUUCGUAUAUGAAGUUAAUACAUUUACUGUCACGACAAUCACCGAUAGCUGGCGCAGAACUUGACAUUUACACCUCGUCAGUCACCAAUGACCGUUAUGUGGUGGAUGUGUCAACAUUGUACCAUACAUAAUUACCUUACAUUUUUAAGGUUAUGCCCAAAGUCCUUAUACUUUCUCCGAUGACAAUUUACUCAGAUAAAUCACCUUAAGCGGCCUAAAUCAACAGAUACCGAAUCACCAGAAAAAUCCCAACACGGAGAGAGAUAACCAAAAAGUACCAGACAGACGGAGGGCGAGUUUAGCGGGUAAACAUCGGGGGUAAUUGGUAGGACGUAUAAGGAAUUUUCUGGUAAAUUGAGCCGGCCACGGAACGAGAUGGAAUUUUCUCCCUUCUUGUUGUAGCGCAAUGAAAGUUUUCCAAUAAGAAACGAAAGAGCUAAUCAGAGUUUCCAAGGACUCAAUGGCCCGUGAACCAACGUGUCUAUGCCUCCCUGCUCGGCCGCUUCUCUGUGUCGGUUACCUUUUGUCCGCCUUCUUCUUUUUCCAAAAAGUCGGCAAGCAUGUCGAGAACAGUCUGAUCCUGCCAGUUUUCUGUAUAUUCGGCUCUGUUCGUGGAGAAAAGGGCCUGCGUAAAGAAGAAGAAGCGACUAUAGAACCGUGUCGCCUAGAGAUUUUAAGUUUCUCCCUAGUCGAAGGCGGAGAGUCGAGGCUUGUUCGUUGUGGUAAAUUGGGUAAAGUUUGAUCUGA